UGCCAGCCGCCGCGGUAACACGGGGGGCGCAAGCGUUAUUCGGAAUUAUUGGGCGUAAAGGGCGCGCAGGCGGUCUUGUCCGUCAGAUGUGAAAGCCCAGGGCUCAACCUUGGAACUGCAUUUAAUACUGCCAGACUUGAGAUCGGAAGAGGAAAGCGGAAUUUCUAGUGUAGAGGUGAAAUUCGUAGAUAUUAGAAGGAACAUCAGAGGCGAAGGCGGCUUUCUGGUCCGAUACUGACGCUGAGGUACGAAAGCGUGGGGAGCAAACAGGAUUAGAUA
rnacentral:rRNA from 1 species